rnacentral:rRNA from 1 species
UACGGGGGGAGCAAGCGUUGUUCGGAUUUACUGGGCGUAAAGGGCGCGUAGGCGGCCAGCGCAAGUCAGUUGUGAAAUCUCCGGGCUUAACCCGGAACGGUCAACUGAUACUGCGCGGCUAGAGUGCAGAAGGGGCAACUGGAAUUCUCGGUGUAGCGGUGAAAUGCGUAGAUAUCGAGAGGAACACCUGCGGCGAAGGCGGGUUGCUGGGCUGACACUGACGCUGAGGCGCGAAAGCUAGGGGAGCGAACGGG